rnacentral:misc_RNA from 1 species
ACAAACUAAGGCUCAGCCUUGUGUUGACCCUUCCCGUCAGGGAUAGGUUGAAAAACAUGCAGAUCCCAGAAAAUCGGAAGCAUACGCAAUAGUAUCGCCAAAGACGCUCUGAAUCUCGAUUAUUACCA